GAUUGAUAAGUCUAAAUCCUCUUAAGCAUAAAUUUGCAGGGCAAGAAGGAAAUAGAUUUUACAGGCAGUGUGUACUUUUGUUAUGCCACAUUUACCACACAUUAGCAAAGGCAAACAUGGAGAAAGGAGAGGUUUUGAGGAGACAAACAAGUGUUGGACCUUCUGCAAACAGCCACAGUGAUUCCAAGAAUGGUAGCCAGGCAGAGUCUAAAAGUGGAGUUCAGGUGGACCUCAAAGUGUGUGGAAUUCAGGUAGUAAAAAACACUGUCAUUAAAACCUUGCAUUCCUUUUUCACUAACAGGACUUGGCUGCCAUGUUAUCCUCCCAAAGUGACUCUGACGACUGCAAUUCAACAAGCUAUGUUGUUGUUUUACUGAGCUGACCUCUCCAUUUAGCAUGAAAGAACUUUGAAGGGUUUAUAGAAUGAGGCUUGGGAAGAGUUGAACACACUAGCUGGCUCCUCUUUGAUAAGCUUUAAGGAGACAUAAAGACUAAGGAAAGUGUAGCAGUUUUAUCCUUUUUCCUCUCAUAACCCUGUACUCAAAAAAAAUCACACUUGAUAUAAGCAAAAGAGUACAACGUGUGCUAUUGGACU
rnacentral:lncRNA from 1 species